rnacentral:rRNA from 1 species
AUUGAACGCUGGCGGCAGGCAUAACACAUGCAAGUCGAGCGGAGCGGGGGACGGGAGAGUAAGGCCUAGGAAUGUGACUGGUAGUGGGGGAUAACGUCAGGAAAGGGGCGCGAAUACCACAUAAUAUCAGAUGAGGCUAGGUCGGAUUGGCUAGUUGGUGGGGUAAAGGCCUACCAAGGCGACGAUCCGUAACUGGUCUGAGAGGAUGAUCAGUCACACUGGAACUGAGACACGGUCCAGACUCCUACGGGAGGCAGCAGUGGGGAAUAUUCGACAAUGGGCGAAAGCCUGAUCCAGCCAUGCCGCGUGUGUGAAGAAGGUCUUCGGAUUGUAAAGCACUUUAAGUUGGGAGGCGUUACCAACAGAAUAAGCACCGGCUAACUUCGUGCCAGCAGCCGCGGUAAUAC